UCGGGAAUUUUGGGCAAUGGGCGAAAGCCUGACCCAGCAACGCCGCGUGCAGGAUGAAGGCCUUCGGGUUGUAAACUGCUUUUGUACGGAGCGAAACGGCUUCUUCUAAUACAGGGAGCUAAUGACGGUACCGUAAGAAUAAGCACCGGCUAACUACGUGCCAGCAGCCGCGGUAAUACGUAGGGUGCGAGCGUUAAUCGGAAUUACUGGGCGUAAAGCGUGCGCAGGCGGUUAUAUAAGACAGAUGUGAAAUCCCCGGGCUCAACCUGGGACCUGCAUUUGUGACUGUAUAGCUAGAGUACGGUAGAGGGGGAUGGAAUUCCGCGUGUAGCAGUGAAAUGCGUAGAUAUGCGGAGGAACACCGAUGGCGAAGGCAAUCCCCUGGACCUGUACUGACGCUCAUGCACGAAAGCGUGGGGAGCAAACAGGAUUAGAUACCCCUGUAGUCCCUGAGCGGGCUGGCAAGGCGCAU
rnacentral:rRNA from 1 species